AUAUUACCAUACAGCCGUUUAUAAAAUAUGGGAUUUUUUUCCCGUUAUAAUGCUGAUUGACGGUUUAGCUGCGAGUAGGCCUACACUGAAGCACUGUUCUCAUCUAAGAAACGUUCAUAUUUAACCAGCGAAUGUUAAUGUUGGUUAUACUAGUGGGAAUGUUGCCUACUCGAACACGAACAUAAAUUAAUUUGACUUACUUUUUCGAUUAGUGUUGAUGACAACGUGUCGCCACCGAAUCCUUCACAGUUCUGGCGGUAAACGACUUGUUAUUUGACGAAAGUUAAAAUCCAGUUAAUUUGUGCAAUACCGCCACUUUCUGCUCCGGAGUGCUUCCACAGAAAUCACGGGAAAGCGAACGUGGUCCCUCAUUAUCGAGUGGAGUCACUGUGAGUGUGAACGGUGUGUGAUUCGGUGUCUCUGUUCGGCGGUGCUUCUGGACCUCAUACUUACCUGGCAGGUUGAUUGAUGUAACAACUUCGGAACCACCACAUUAUCUCAGGUUUUACGGGAAGGAGUUUAGGAGAGGCGCGCACACAGAAACAGUUCGGCUAUGAUGGAUGGAGCCGCAGUGGAGCAGGAGCAGAAGAGGAUUUUUUACACCAAAACUGGGAACCAGCAAAAAAUAAAGGUGAACAAUGAUUGGAUUGUUAAGGGAAAAGAACAAAGCAGGUUGCAGGUUGAGAAGUGGUUUACCUCACUACGUUUGCUACCCAGGAUCUACCUAGGAACACGGUUCAUUUCAAGUCGGGUAUGUGAGUCGACAGUGUUGAGUGGAGUUUUAUACCAAAACUACUGUGUUUCUGUAACCCUGCAUUUCUGAAGCUCUUGUGUUAUUUCUAAUGUAACUUUAUCUAGAUUCAUUGUUCAUUGUUGUACUAUGCAUUCAAUACUGAUAUAUU